CCUUCACGCCUGGGCUUCAGCCUCCUGGGGCUCCAGAGGGUGGGGCGGUCCGGGCCGCGGCGGCGGUGGCGGCGCCACUUCACCGCUCCCGCCCGCGGCGUUGCUGGGGCUCGCGGACCAGCGGACCGGGCGGCGCGAAGCUGACUGAGGGGCGGGGACGCCGUCUGUUCUCGUCGCUCCCGGCCGGGCCGGGCCGGGCGGGCCCCUCGGAGCAGCCCCUGGGCCCCGGACCGGCGCGGAGACCCGGAGCCCGAGCUAGAGGCGAGCGGUGGGCCCGGGCAGAGCCCCGCCCGGAGCCGGUGGUUCGGGGGCGGCGCUAGGCCCCGAGGCUGCCGGACCCCAGCGCGAGGAGCCGGAGUGCGGGCCCGGCAGUGGCGGCAUGAGCCGGCCCCCGCCGACGGGGAAAAUGCCCGGCGCCCCCGAGACCGUGCCGGGGGACGGGGCCGGCGCGGGCCGCCAGAGGAAGCUGGAGGCGCUGAUCCGAGACCCUCGUUCCCCCAUCAACGUGGAGAGCUUGCUGGAUGGCUUAAACUCCUUGGUCCUUGAUUUGGAUUUUCCUGCUUUGAGGAAAAACAAGAAUAUAGAUAAUUUCUUGAAUAGAUAUGAGAAAAUUGUGAAAAAAAUCAGAGGUCUACAGAUGAAGGCAGAAGACUAUGAUGUUGUAAAAGUUAUUGGAAGAGGUGCUUUUGGUGAAGUUCAGUUGGUUCGUCAUAAGGCAUCACAGAAAGUUUAUGCUAUGAAACUUCUUAGUAAGUUUGAAAUGAUAAAAAGAUCAGAUUCUGCUUUUUUCUGGGAAGAAAGAGAUAUUAUGGCCUUUGCCAACAGUCCGUGGGUGGUUCAGCUCUUUUAUGCUUUUCAAGAUGAUAGGUACCUGUACAUGGUAAUGGAGUACAUGCCUGGUGGAGACCUUGUAAACCUUAUGAGUAAUUAUGAUGUGCCUGAAAAAUGGGCCAAAUUUUAUACUGCUGAAGUUGUUCUUGCUCUGGAUGCGAUACACUCCAUGGGUUUAAUACACAGAGAUGUGAAGCCUGACAACAUGCUCUUGGAUAAACAUGGACAUCUAAAAUUAGCAGAUUUUGGCACAUGUAUGAAGAUGGAUGAAACAGGCAUGGUGCACUGUGAUACAGCAGUUGGAACACCUGAUUAUAUAUCACCUGAGGUUCUGAAAUCACAAGGGGGUGAUGGUUACUAUGGACGAGAAUGUGAUUGGUGGUCAGUAGGUGUUUUCCUUUUUGAGAUGCUAGUGGGGGAUACUCCCUUUUAUGCAGAUUCACUUGUAGGAACAUAUAGCAAAAUUAUGGAUCAUAAAAAUUCACUGUGUUUCCCUGAAGAUGCAGAAAUUUCUAAACAUGCGAAGAAUCUCAUCUGUGCCUUCUUAACAGAUAGGGAGGUACGACUUGGGAGAAAUGGGGUAGAAGAAAUCAAACAACAUCCCUUCUUUAAGAAUGAUCAAUGGAAUUGGGAUAACAUAAGAGAGACGGCAGCUCCUGUAGUACCUGAACUCAGCAGUGACAUAGACAGCAGCAACUUUGAUGACAUUGAAGAUGAUAAAGGAGAUGUAGAAACCUUCCCAAUUCCUAAAGCUUUUGUGGGAAAUCAGCUGCCUUUUAUAGGAUUUACCUACUACAGAGAAAAUUUGUUAUUAAGUGACUCUCCAUCUUGUAGAGAAAAUGAUUCAGUACAAUCAAGGAAAAAUGAAGAAAGUCAAGAGAUACAGAAAAAACUGUAUACAUUAGAAGAACACCUUAGCAAUGAGAUACAAGCCAAAGAGGAACUAGAGCAGAAAUGCAAAUCUGUUAAUACUCGCCUAGAGAAAACAGCAAAGGAGCUAGAAGAAGAGAUUACCUUAAGGAAAAAUGUGGAGUCAGCCUUACGACAAUUAGAAAGAGAAAAGGCACUUCUCCAGCACAAAAAUGCAGAAUAUCAACGGAAAGCUGAUCAUGAAGCAGACAAGAAACGAAAUUUGGAAAAUGAUGUUAACAGCUUAAAAGAUCAACUUGAAGAUUUGAAAAAAAGAAAUCAAAACUCUCAAAUAUCCACUGAGAAAGUGAAUCAACUCCAGAGACAACUGGAUGAAACCAGUGCUUUGCUGCGAACAGAAUCUGAUACUGCAGCCCGGUUAAGAAAAACCCAAGCAGAAAGUUCAAAACAGAUUCAGCAGCUGGAAUCUAAUAAUAGAGAUCUUCAAGAUAAAAACUGCCUGCUGGAGACUACCAAGUUAAAACUUGAAAAGGAAUUUAUUAAUCUUCAGUCAGCUCUGGAAUCUGAAAGAAGAGACCGAACCCAUGGAUCAGAGAUAAUUAAUGAUUUACAAGGUAGAAUAUCUGGCCUAGAAGAAGAUUUAAAGAAUGGCAAAAUCUUACUAGCAAAAGUAGAGCUGGAGAAGAGACAACUACAGGAGAGAUUUACUGAUUUGGAAAAGGAAAAGAGCAACAUGGAAAUAGAUAUGACAUACCAACUAAAAGUUAUACAGCAGAGCUUAGAACAAGAGGAGGCUGAACACAAAGCCACAAAGGCACGGCUAGCAGAUAAAAAUAAGAUUUAUGAAUCCAUUGAAGAAGCUAAAUCAGAAGCCAUGAAAGAAAUGGAGAAGAAGCUAUUGGAGGAAAGGACUUUAAAACAGAAAGUGGAGAAUCUAUUGCUGGAAGCUGAAAAAAGGUGCUCCCUAUUAGACUGUGACCUCAAGCAGUCACAACAGAAAAUAAAUGAGCUCCUUAAACAGAAAGAUGUGCUAAAUGAGGAUGUUAGAAACUUGACAUUAAAAAUAGAGCAGGAAACUCAGAAGCGUUGCCUUACGCAAAAUGACUUGAAGAUGCAAACACAGCAAGUUAACACACUAAAAAUGUCAGAAAAGCAAUUAAAACAAGAGAAUAACCAUCUCAUGGAAAUGAAAAUGAACUUGGAAAAACAAAACGCUGAACUUCGAAAAGAACGUCAAGAUGCAGAUGGGCAAAUGAAAGAGCUCCAGGAUCAGCUUGAAGCGGAACAGUAUUUCUCAACCCUCUAUAAAACACAAGUUCGGGAACUUAAAGAAGAAUGUGAAGAAAAGACCAAACUUUGUAAAGAAUUGCAGCAAAAGAAACAGGAAUUACAGGAUGAAAGGGACUCUUUGGCUGCUCAACUGGAGAUCACCUUGACUAAAGCAGAUUCUGAGCAGCUGGCUCGUUCAAUUGCUGAAGAACAAUACUCUGAUUUGGAAAAAGAGAAAAUCAUGAAAGAGCUGGAGAUCAAAGAGAUGAUGGCUAGACACAAACAGGAGCUUACUGAAAAAGAUGCUACAAUUGCAUCUCUUGAAGAAACUAAUAGGACACUAACCAGUGAUGUUGCCAAUCUUGCAAAUGAGAAAGAAGAAUUAAAUAAUAAAUUGAAGGAUGCUCAAGAGCAACUGUCAAGGUUGAAAGAUGAAGAGAUAAGUGCAGCAGCUAUUAAAGCACAGUUUGAGAAACAGCUGUUAACAGAAAGAACACUCAAAACUCAAGCUGUGAAUAAAUUGGCUGAGAUCAUGAAUCGAAAAGAACCUGUCAAGCGUGGAAGUGACACAGAUGUGCGGAGAAAAGAGAAGGAGAAUAGAAAGCUACAUAUGGAACUUAAAUCCGAACGUGAAAAAUUGACCCAGCAGAUGAUCAAGUAUCAGAAAGAACUGAAUGAAAUGCAGGCCCAAAUAGCUGAAGAAAGCCAGAUUCGAAUUGAACUGCAGAUGACACUGGACAGUAAAGACAGUGACAUUGAGCAGCUGCGGUCACAGCUCCAGGCCUUGCAUAUUGGUCUGGAUAGUUCCAGUAUAGGCAGCGGACCAGGGGAUGCUGAGGCAGAUGAUGGGUUUCCAGUUCAUAUCACUCAAUCACACACUAUGGAAUCCAUGUCAUUCACCUACCAGCGUUCCUCUGCUUCUCUCAAUGUUGCCACUAAGCCUUCCAGUUCUCACAUGCUCCUUGACUCUGACUCUGACUCUGACUCAGAAGAAGAAUCUUUGCCUUACUUACCCAUUUCAACGGAACCUAAUGAGUCAAGAUUAGAAGGAUGGCUUUCAUUGCCUGUACGAAACAACACUAAGAAAUUUGGAUGGGUUAAAAAGUAUGUGAUUGUAAGCAGUAAGAAGAUUCUUUUCUAUGACAGUGAACAAGAUAAAGAACAAUCUAACCCUUACAUGGUUUUAGAUAUUGACAAAUUAUUUCAUGUCCGACCAGUUACACAGACAGAUGUAUAUAGAGCAGAUGCUAAAGAAAUUCCAAGGAUAUUCCAGAUUCUAUAUGCCAAUGAAGGAGAAAGUAAGAAGGAACAAGAAUUUCCAGUGGAGCCAGUUGGAGAAAAAUCUAAUUAUAUUUGCCACAAAGGACAUGAGUUUAUUCCUACUCUUUAUCAUUUCCCAACCAACUGUGAGGCUUGUAUGAAGCCACUGUGGCAUAUGUUUAAACCUCCUCCUGCUUUAGAGUGCCGUCGCUGCCACAUUAAAUGUCAUAAAGAUCACAUGGACAAAAAGGAGGAGAUUAUAGCACCUUGUAAAGUGUAUUAUGAUAUUUCAACGGCAAAGAAUCUAUUGUUAUUAGCAAAUUCUACAGAAGAGCAGCAGAAGUGGGUUAGUCGGUUGGUAAAAAAGAUACCUAAAAAGCCCCCAGCUCCAGACCCUUUUGCACGGUCAUCUCCUAGAACUUCGAUGAAGAUACAACCAAACCAGUCUAUUAGACGGCCAAGUCGACAGCUUGCCCCAAACAAACCAAGGACCUUCAGUAUACGAAUAAUGAUGUGCAUUGGCUGUAUUAUCAGAAAUCUUAUUCUAACCACAAAUAUCUUAUACGAGCUUUCUUGAAACUAGAAGGAAGUAAUUUAGAAUGGCAAAGGUAGAAUUGGUGUUUCAGCAGUGAAAAUGUUGAAUAUUUUAUGUGAGCUAACUGCCUUCUAUGAAAGCAGUCAUUAUUCAAGGUGAUCGUAUUCUUCCAGUUAAAACAGGACUGAAAUAUGAUGGCCCAAAAUUUCUUAAAAAGCUGUAUUUUCCUGAGAGACUGAUAAAUACACAUAUGCAUAUAUGUUCCUUUUUUCCCUGUAAUAUAGAUGAAAAUUUUUGGAGAGAUUUCUUGGGCUCCUUUGAAGCAGCAAAUUGAUUGAACCAACCAUGAUUGGUUAAUAGAGUAAGGAUAUCAAGUGCAACUCUUCCAAACUUGUUUCAUAAAGCUCUCUUAGCAGUCACUCACACUACAUUGCACAAAAGGACUGAGAAGACUUAAAGUUUAAAGAAAUCAUCUUUUCAGCUUCAAUAGUGAGAUUUCACCAGCACAUUUACCAGAAGAAUCUUGAAAUGGAUUCCACUACAGUGAUAUUGACUGCAUCUUUCAGAAGUGACCAUUAUACUGUGUAUAUAUAUAUAUAUAUAUAUUUAAAAAACCAUAUAUAUAUAUAGUACUGUAAUACUGCAAGAGGGUUUUUUAAACUUCCCACUUUAUUUUUUAUAUACAUUAAUCAGAUAUCAUUACUUACUGCAGUUGCAACUAUGCACUUGUAUAAAGCCAUAAUGUUGGAGUUUAUAUCACUCAUUCAUGUGUACCUGAUGGAAGCUGCAUGUUCGUGUUUAAGCAGUUACUGUAACAAGAAGUUUGAAGUUAAUUUUAUCAGUUUCCUAAUGCUUCAUGAUAGGCAACUUUACCCAUUUUGAAUGCCUUAAUUUAAUUUUUUUUCAAAGUCUCAGCUCUUUUCUGUAUUAAAAAAAAAGUGUUUACCAGCUCUUAGGAUGCAAACUUGCUUUGUGGAAAAAAAAUAGUGCACUAUUUUUACACAUAAUAGUUAUAUCAAUGUCAGCUUAUUUUGAUUGUAUAACAAAAUUUUUUUAAAGCAUUGGUUAUAGAAACAAUAAUGGAUAGUAUUAGAACUAAUAUAUCUUUGAUGUGUAUGUAUUAUUCAUCCAACCCUUUUUACAGACCUCAGUGUUAGUCUGUGACUACAAAAUGUUUGCUUUGCUUUGAAUUUGUUGGCUACCCUAGAUGUGCUUUGAUUUCUGGUAAAGACAUUUGUGAUUAUCUUGACAUUCACACUCAAGAUUCAAAAAUUAUCGCAAAUAUAAAGAAAACUAAGACAUACUGUAGAUAUAUUUUAAAUAUUUAAAUGUGAUCUUCAAACACACAACUGUGUAUGGCAAUAUUUCAGUAUUGGGUUAAGAAAAAAACUGAUAACUGGGAAGAAAUGGCCUCAAAGGCACUUAAUUUGAUUUUCAUUUUUUAAAUGCUGUUAAAGUUACAGUUUAGGCAGGACCAUUCCUGUUAUAAUUCUCAUGAUCACAGAUAAGUAUAUGUUUUAUACCACAACAGUAUGCAGCAAUGGUAAGCAUCAGGUUUUUUUAAAAAAAAUUAUGUAGUCUUUUAUCAGUCUCUCUUUACAUACAUACACACAGAGUUUGGUAUGAUACUGAAAUACAUCAUCUAAUAUUUCAAUGAAGGAAGUAGACAUAAUUUUCAUUGAUUCCCUCUGGUGUCAGUAUAGAGAUUUUUAAAGAGUUAGAUCCCCAUUAUAGAUACUGUUGUGGAAAUUGAAGAGCAGUCAUCGGCCUACUGAUGUACUGAACCUGAAUUUUGUUAUUCUUACAUUAUCCAGUCUGCACUCUUUUAUGCUGUCUGUGCUAAAACUAGAUGUGCAUGCCAUUUCUCUUGCAGGUGUGUUCUGCAGUUCUGGUUUUGGGGGACAGCUUUUUUUUUUUAAAGUAAGAUUAAAAAAUGAAAAAUAUAUAAAAUUUAUAUAGAAUAAAUAUUUCCAUUCAUUAGAAUUGUUAAAAGGAGACUGAAUUAAUAUUUUAUAUAAAGAUUUUGUUACACUAUGGGAGGUUCUAUCCUAUUCUGAAUUGGAGAGUAUAUAUAUAUAUAUUUUUAAUAAACUUUAUUAAGGUGAAACAAUUUCAAGUUUACACAUGAGUAACUGCAAUAUUUGAGUGAAAAAGGCAGAAGUUUAAAUUUUGAAUGCUGUAUAUAUUAGAGAACAUGGAGAAUCAUGGUGUGAUGCAACUGUACCAGGAAAAUUAAUGUGAAUAUCUGGGGGGAAAGAGAUAUUCUUAGGGGUGAAAAAAAUCUCUCCCAUGGAGAUUCUUCACAUUAUAUGGUUUGACGUAAGGAUUAAUUAGUUUGUUUGUCCAACUAGUAGAAAUGCGCUUAAUAAAAAAUUCUGACCUUGGGUAAGAAUUUGCUUUGUACCGCAUUGCCGCUUUUCUGUACAUACAUGAGUGCAUGCACCUGUCCACAUGUUCUCUUCCCCAGCACUCAUUAAAUAUGACACAACCUGAUUUUGUGCCAGUUUCUCUUUUUCUUGAGGCCCCAAAGCUUCCAAGAUAAAUGUUUAUGAGACUAUAAGUUGCUUAUUUCUUCACACCUGAUUUCUCCUAGAGCCAUAAAUACCUCCUAUUGGGAACUAAGAACUAGUGAGUAUUGGGAUUUUCUUAGUUGGAUUUUUUUUUACUUUUGUGGAGAUAGUGAGACAGAAGUGGAAGGAAAACUGGUGCCGGUAUUACUGUGGAAAAUUAAUGUAUAGUGAAUUUUUUUAAAGUAUUAAUUUUAAAAAAACAUGCUAUCUAGAAGCAAGAUUUUUUUUAAAAAAAAUCUAUUUGAAAGUUUAAAAUGCUCUAGCUAAUGGAUAAAUAUACCAAUAAAUAUAAAAUAAAGUUUAAUGCCUUUAAAACUAACCUGUGCUGCAGUUGCACAAAUCUGGCUCUGAAGGAUCUACUUUGCAUCAGCUUAUCUGUAUGUCCUGAACAAGAAGUACUCCAGAUUGCCAAACCACACUUUAAGAAGUUAUGCUGCUGUUUAUCUGUCCUUACAGGAUUCUGAUGUUAAAAUAGAGAAACUCAGACGUGAUAUUAACCUUAUUGGAACAUGCUUUAAAUAACACGUUUAAAUCUUAUUUGAGCAAGUCACUUCAGAGUCUCUCAGUCUGCGUUGACACUGCUACUGACUCACCUCUCCUUCCCUGGAAUAAGGCUUCAGCUUCCCUAUGUUGUGAAGAUACCACAGUUGAAUUGUAAAGCACUUUGAAGGUAAGCACUGUGUGACAGUGCUGAAUAUUAUGCUUGGGGACCUCUCCCCAUCUCCCUUCCCCAUAAUAAUGAGUUUUUUGUUUGGAAUUGUAAUAAGUUAUGAACUGCAUGGUUUAGAUAAUCAUAAAUAUUUGAUCAGCUGUCCCCUCUGAACAAAAAUCGUACCCCCCCUUUUUUUUUUAAUUUGUUGCAUCUUUGUAGUAAUGUAAUUGUAUUUUAUGCCUGCUUUUUAUAAAAAAAAUAAAAGAAAUGAAGACAUGA